rnacentral:rRNA from 1 species
UAGGAAAUCUUCCACAAUGGACGCAAGUCUGAUGGAGCAACGCCGCGUGAGUGAAGAAGGUCUUCGGAUCGUAAAACUCUGUUGUUAGAGAAGAACACGAGUGAGAGUAACUGUUCAUUCGAUGACGGUAUCUAACCAGCAAGUCACGGCUAACUACGUGCCAC